AGAGCGAACGCUGGCGGCAUGCUUAACACAUGCAAGUCGCACGGGCAGCAAUGUCAGUGGCGGACGGGUGAGUAACGCGUAGGUAUCUAUCCUUGGGUGGGGGACAACUGUGGGAAACUACAGCUAAUACCGCAUAACAACUGAGGUUCAAAGGCGCAAGUCGCCUGAGGAGGAGCCUGCGUACGAUUAGCUAGUUGGUGGGGUAAAGGCCUACCAAGGCGACGAUCGUUAGCUGGUCUGAGAGGAUGAUCAGCCACAUUGGGACUGAGACACGGCCCAAACUCCUACGGGAGGCAGCAGUGGGGAAUAUUGGACAAUGGGCGAAAGCCUGAUCCAGCAAUGCCGCGUGUGUGAAGAAGGUCUUCGGAUUGUAAAGCACUUUCGACGGGGACGAUGAUGGACGGUACCCGUAGAACGACGCCCCGGCUAACUUCGCGCCAGCAGCCGC
rnacentral:rRNA from 1 species